GGGGGAAUUUUUGGCUUCUCCAUUGGUGCCGUCCAGCGCACCAUCCAGCUGGCAGACCAGAAGCACUGCUUUGUCUGCAGCGGGAGGGGAGCUACCAUCAGCUGCGCGGAGACAGGCUGUGAGCGCAGCUUCCAUCUGCCCUGCACCGAGGACGGGCAGUGCAUCACCCAAUACUUUGGGCAGCACAGGUCCUUCUGCUGGGAGCAUCGCCCUCAGCAGGCAGCGGAGGCAGCUCC